AAAAAACUCAUCCUAGCACCAAAACCUUUCGUCAAAAAAGUUACGUUUUUUUUUUUUAAAUUGGCGCGUUUCCAUUAAGUGAAUUUAUUUUCAAAAUGCGCAAUUAAAUGAUA